rnacentral:lncRNA from 1 species
UGGCUGCGCAUGUGAGCGUUCACCUGUUCGGCGACCGUCUUCUUCUUUAUUUUUGGAAGUAGCCUAGUUUGUUGGGCUCCCAGCGUAUUCGUGCGUUUCUUCUGCACUUCGACACGGCACCACGGCACUAUUGGACUACGGCAAGCUGAGGCCAUCUGGUGAAGCUUCAUACGGGAACUACUGCUGCUUUCCUGGUGCCACAACGCUAGAUAAAUGCACAAAAAGCCCGAAACAAACAUUUAUGCAUAUCAAAAUAAACAUCUCCUCAUUUCACAAGGCGUAUUGCGUCUACUUUAUGAAAUUCCACGUUGCACAGAGUCGAUGGAGGCUUGUACAGAUCGUUCGCAAUCAAUUUUACUAAAUAAUAAAACGAUUCCGCAGCAAGACCGCGCGCGUUUGAGCAGCAGAAGC